CCCUGAUGCCUAUGAGCAUUGUACCUUAGGGUGCUCAGCUGCUUACGGAGCAGAGGACUGACCUGCUAAGGAGGGUAUCUGAAACUACCGUGUCUUGCUCAUUUUCUCUCUGCAGAUAUGACAGCUUCUACUUUACCCCCAGGUGCUCACUAUGUGAAUAGCAUACAUCCCACUAAGAUGUAUCUGUUGCAGCGCACAAACUAAACCUGGCUGGGUUGAUUCCAUUGUGGUGACAUCUGAAGUGCAUUUCUAAGAACCAAAGAAGCGCCAUCUGAGAACGGCCAUGGGGGAAUGUCUGGUAAAAUGUGGGGAAACAUGUUUGCAUCAUUGUCCAGUAGAGUGGGUGCUGCUUCCAUUUCAUUCUGCAGAAUGCUGGGCAAAUAACUUCUGGCAACCAGAAAUCCCUGUAGAGGCUGUUCAUCACCAGCCAAAGCUCUUGCUGCUCUGCCUUGCCCAGACCCAUGAGAACCUACUGAGCAGCCUGGAGAUGGAACUGAUGAGAGCUUGUGUUUCAACAAGUGCAGCUUUUAAACAGGCUCUGCCCAUGGGGCUGAUGCACAGACAGGUUUAAUGACAAGUUAAAAUCAAUUACCCAAUGUCCAGCCCCUGGCUGCUACCAGCAGUUGUCAGCAACAGGUCCUGUUUUGGGCUGGCUGAGGGUGGUUGUUCUGCCAGCUGGAAUGACACAAAGUCCUUCUGAACCUGAGCAGUGAAGCUGGCCUGGAGACUCCCUCAAGCAGUGUGCAGGUGGGACCCAGUUGCUCCCUGGAUGCCUCUUGGCAGGUUUUCUCCUGUGGGAGAUGUGAGGAGUAGGGAUGGGAUAAAGAGGAUGCUCCAACCCACAGUGCAGGCAUCUACUGAGAUCUGCAGCCCCGUGACACCUGGCUUGGCUGUGGGCGCUCCCUGGCUUUGACACUUCUCACCCCUGCGAAAGGUGGUGGCUGCUGGGCCACAGUCCUGGCUGCGUUUUGAACCCAGCAGGAGGUUUGGCUGCUCAAAUGGCUGGAAUCCAUCUGGAAUGCCCUGCAGAGGCAGCUCCUGCCUUUCCCAGACAUAGGGUGCUGCCAUAUUCUGUACUGGGACAUGUCAGCUCCACCUGAAAUGCCCUGCAGGAGCUGUGUCUGGAGCCACUACAGGCUUCCACCAAGCCCUGCAAGACAUCUGCAAUGGGAACCCUUUCUCUCCAAAUGGUGAUCUGCACCUCUUAGAAGAUGCACUCUGCAUUACUGCAGUUUGGUCACUGGGUACGUACGGGAAAAUAGUCAGGAAGCAAAAAGAACAGGAGCUGAGAAGGAGGAUAAUUACAGUGAGCAGGUGUUUCUCUUAGACUGUAACUGGGCUGCUGGGAAUGAUGCACUUUCAGUGCUGAGCUCCCCCGACACUCCCCAGUUCCUCAUCUGGCCGUAGUCAGCAAGGGACUGCAGUUGGGUCAGGUGAUGGGCAAUCACCCUAAACCCCUGGGCAUGGUGGAGUGGAAGGGUAAUGGCUUGCUUUCAACUAGACAAUAUUCAAAGUCAUUUCCCCCCCUUCUUCUAGCUCACCGCAUGAUUUACAAACCAGGAAACACACGGCCCUUUGUUCUUACGCUGUCUGAUUUAGACAGUCGGUACGUGCUUUGCGGUGAACAGCGGUCGUCCUGGUGAGUUGUGCUGAUAAGAAGCUCUGAUCUUUGCACUGCCUUGGAGAGAAGGCAGCUAUCUGCUGUCCUCCAUCCCAGCACUGGGCGCUGCCUCAGUGCACAGUGACCAUGGCAGUGGAUGGGGAUGCUGCCAGCCAGGGACUAGCCCAGUGCAGUGGCUUAUUUGCUGCUGCUUUCUGACACCACACUGAAUGCCCGUGAGAGCCCCAGUGUCUUCCCACCAACACCUCAACAUUUCCACCUGACACUGCUGUGAGGGGUCAGGCUUGGGCAAAAACCACUUCAGUGAUGGUUCGUCAGGUCAUCACUAAAGGGUCUCUUUGUCCUUUAGGAGGGGAGCCACACAUUUGUGGCAUAGGAACGUGUGUGAGAGGAGGCCUGCAGAGAAGGUGGUGGUGUGGUUACUGAUGUGACAUGCUGCUUAGAGGGGGAAAGUCUGAUGUGGAGUCAUCCCCAAUGUCUUGAGUGGGUAAUGCAGUGCUGCCUGGAGGGAGGAGUACCAGCACUUCUGAGAUCACUUUGACAUCCUUCUUAAUACCAGGGGGUUUCAGUGGCAACAAAAUGCACUUUUAUGUUGAAAUGCAGAACUAAACGCCCCAAAUUUCGUGAGGUAAAAAGGUUCUUUGCAAGCAUUAGAACAGAAACAUACAUUGAUAAUCACUGGUAACUUUGGCACGGACUCUUGAGACACCUCUCUGUGCUCUCUGGGCUAACAGAAUUAAUCUGCAGCUGUUGCGGUUGACCCAGCCCAUCAAGUCCACCUUCACGCUCCAGUAUGUGAUGUCAGGCAGGGGCCUUAAUCCCAAAUGAUCUGUCUUUGUGUAUAUCCUUGUUUCCUGGCAAUCCACUGGUUAUAAACACUCCUCGGGUUUCCCAGUAAUGUAGCAUGUUGAAGAUUAAUUAGUUAUGGUACAAAUUUCUGCUCCUCAUGUUAAUUAAUUUCAGCAGAGGCACAUUUGCUGACCUCCCGAGGCUGGUGGAGCACAGCAGGUGCUUACGCAUGUUAAUGUAAAGCAGUUACUGGAGGUAAAUCAGCUGCGUUGAUUGCAGAGUCCCCUGGUUUGUCUCAAGUGAAUUAUUUCAAGCUGAAGCCAGCUCCUUUUAUCAUGCUUCAGGAUGGUUGGAGAUGGCUCUGCUAGCUUUGCUUAGCUCAGAUUUUGUAGCAAAAGAUGCAUCUUAAGAACACAAGGUGACAGACAUACUGAAGUAACACUUUAAAAACCUGUCAAUGCCAGUGCAGGCGGAGGGAUUUAAUGGAAUAUUGCUGAAAGUGGUUUUAAGGGUGGGACGCCACAUUGCACCCACCAGUGGAUCUGAGAAGCUUCAGUGCUGGAGCCUCUAGUGUUAUAAUAUGGAGAUUGCUCUUGCACAGUGUAUGUCAGAGUGUCAAAAACUUGAGAAAGUUAUGAAUGUCCCUGCAUCCCACAUGGGCAUAUCUCGGGUUGUUUACCAGCACUUGACACUUCACAAGCUCAGUGACACAAGUUCAGUGUUUUAGGUGCCUUCCAGAAAAGCAUCAAUUCUGUGCUCUGCAACUCCUUGUGAUUUGCUGUAGCAGACACAUUCGGAGCCAAGGUCUGACCAGGUGGCUUCAUCAGCCUUUUGGGAGAGCUGAAGAGUUGCUAAUUGUAACUCCAUAGUUUGGCAUCGGGCCUUCUCUUCCUGCCUGCUGUGACUAGCCUGUGUGCUGGUCAUGCUGUCAAUUCAGCCACUGAUGGCAUCUCAGAGAAAGCCUUGAGGUAGGUGAUGUUUCCUUUAAAGACUUCUGAGCUCAUGAGAAUGAGAUAGCGCAUUCCCAUGUGGUUAAGUUAUACGCUUACAAGUCCUGGCUAGAAGUGUUAGCAAAACAGCCUUUGGUUGCUAGGAGGUGCUGUGUGUGGAUUAAUUAAUCAGGAUGGUUGUGCCUUCUGUUUGCUAUCAUUGCUGAUGUAAAAGAGAGGUUUCCAAAGCUGAAAGUUGUGAUGGACUCUUGUUGGGCUGAGACCUUUACGUAUAGAAACACACACUAAGACAGUUGUGGCAAAUGUUAGUCAUUACAAAAUACUGCACAGAAAAAAGUCAGUCUAAACUGUGAGGCCCACAAGAGGCUCUGUCUGCUCUAAGCAGUUCGUCUGUCCAUGUUGUUACAUGCAGCAGCGACACAGAAACAGCCGGGACUCUGCUAGUACAAAAUAUUUUCCUCUUCCACUAAAUGGGGAAAGAGGCUGUGAGAUUUUUGGUCUGGUUUUGAAGCAACAUGCUGAACUUUCUUAACACUCAAGUGAGAGAUCUGGCUUGCCCCUUGCAAGAGCAAAGAAUGCUACCACAGGCUCUAAUUCCUUUACUGCAGUCAGAUGAGCUGCCUGUAUGAUCAUUUUCUGAUGUAUUUCCAUCAGUAUGGCUUAAGUUAAUAGCUGGGGAAGUAGAUGGGAUAAAAGUAAGUCAGCAGGCAAAACAGCAAAUCCAUGAAGAGUAUUGUAAAACCUAAUGGUGCUUGCAGCAGUCUCUUCAACUAGACCAUGAUGUAUGCCUGAAGCCCUAGACUGUGGUAGACACAAGGCAGUCUUGACUACACUCACACACAGAGGAUUGAAUCCACACAGCUUUUAAAUGUUUUUAGACACUAAACUCAUUGGACAAGCAAGCUUGUUGCUAGUUGGCUCCAAGCAUCUGUUCCUUGGGAGGUACUAUGCAAACAGAAGUAUUUAGUUUCCCAUCAACUGAAGUCAGGUGUUUCCUUGGCUCUUUGAAAAGAGUAUAGGCAGAAGGCUGGCACGACGUUCAAAUUCCCCAAAGUCCUUAGCUGGUGACAUUGCAUCAUAAACAAGACAACUGCCCCCAGGGGUCACGUGUUCAAUACACACUGAACUAGGAAUAGGGGCCCUAAUUCUGCAUCCUAUGGUUCUACCAGUCCUCAAGAUUGAUCCGUGUUAAGUGCUGUGUGAGGCUGGGAUUCUGAUUCUCCCACCAGCAUCUUCUGGUGCCUGGGCAGUUCAGUGAGUGCAAUCACAGCAGAAUAUCCAGGAUCUGCAGGGGGUGUCAGGAAGGGAAAAGGUGGGAUCCACAAACAAGUAUGUGAGCUCUACUGGUGCAGUGUAGGGGGAAAAUGGUGGACUAACCUUAGAGAACAAGCUGCAAAUUCACACCAAAGCACUAUGUGCUCACCCAAGAGGUAUUUCUGUUUUGUCUCUCUUUCAGCCAUGAAAAGAGGGGCCUGCACAGAAGAUAAGGCAACCUUUUGUAAUAGUGAGAUCCUUACACCUUUCAUCCAUAGAGGAACUCUUUCUCCUGAAGGAAUUCCACUCUGCAUCUUCUUCUCAGGAGCAUCCCUGAACCCAUGGUUUAUUGAAGAAUUGCAGAUUUUGCUGGAUAGUCUAGAGAUGUGCUGGGAAUCCCUAAGGGACCAGCCGGGCUGUCACAACACCUGCAGCGACAACUAUCUGCAAUUUAUGAUGAACAGGAUUACUGAAAUACUGCGAGACAGCAGCCAAAGGACUUGCCAUACAGGCAGUGGAGCUGUGGUAAAUCAGGCUGUGGAGUUACCCGUGCACUUCCAGAAAAGGAAGGCUACGCAGCUGCAGGAAUAACACAUUGCCCCACUGGUGCUGGAACCUGUCUUUGGCAAAAGGUUUGCAUAAAGGAGUUGUGACUGUGCAAGCCUACACUCCAUAACUGCAGUUACCUACACCUACUGGGCUUUUUGUCUCAGGCUCACCUCUGUAAUUAGAUGAAGUGAUAACCAAGUGGCACGCCAGCACCUGUGGCACAGCUCCUGGGCUUGCAGAACCCGUACUGCUGCUGACUUCUAUUAGUCACUCUCAACAGUGGCUAUUAAUGCAGCCAGGUACAAACUGGUUUUUACUUUGUUCCUCUUGGGUGAGUGAUCCUGGCUGUGAUUCUGCAAGUUGAUUAGGUCCCUGCUGCUAAAAUCAGUGGGGACAAGAUAUCUAAAUGCUUUUCAGAAUGUGAGACCUGUGGGACUGUUCUGCUUGAGCAAUUCAAAUUCAUGGAAGGAUCCCUAUAAAUAUUUCAUGGCCCCAAGGACAAACUAUGUUGUGGCUGCAAAGCUAGGCACAUAUAUGCCUCCAGAAGAAUAAACACAUUGCAGCAGCAAUGAGAAACUCUGCUCUUAGCCUGUCAGUACUUACAGCUGGCAUGCAGAAAGACAGAGUAUAGUUAAUGUUUUAGAAAUAGGUUUUGCACCAAUAUAGGUUUUCAGUUUUCAAUAUGUCUUUUAAAUGAAGCAGAAAUUACAUGCCUAUCUGCCCCCAGAUUUUCCUCAUUAGCAUUAAUCAAGCACACUUGACUCGCUUACAGAUGAAUUUGAUUAGGUUCAUGUAUACUCUUAGGAACCAAAAAUAAUGAAUCACGACUUGAGCGUACGUGCUGCUGCAGCCAACAUUGUUGCUUGGUAUCUGCUGCAGCAGUGAACUAACAGAUAAUUCCUAGAACUGGGAUCCAAACCAUUGGCAACAGGAGAUGCUAAAUGGCACAUAUGACAUAAAGAAAGCAGGACCACACAAAGUGGAAAAGCUAUAAAGUGCACAGUUAUUUAAAUGACUGUAUAGUUGGUUGAGAUUCUUUAUUUUCUGACACAGAAAGAGCUACAAUGGAAAACUUCACCCUGUCUACAUGCAUACACAAAUAUUUUUGCAUGUGUCCCAGCCUGUGUAGCUGUUAGAUCUGUGAGCUCACUUACGCUUCUUGUUUUAUAAUGCCAACAGAUUCUUCUGUUCAUCGGCUUUCAGCACCGAAGGAAAAAGGUGUCUUCCAAGAACAACAGUAAAAAGCAUUUGAGCUGUACAUUGAGCAUGUACAGCGGUGUAGCUCUGUGCAAAUCAUGUUUUAUGCACUCGCCACUGCAAGUGUAAAUAUACGCAAAGCCUACGUGCACAAGCACCCCUUGAGAAGCCGGCAGGGGAUGUAUCAUUGCACUGCCUGUAGAAUUGUUUGUUGAUAAGAAGAAAAAUGCAGAACAGAGAAGUGUUUCUGUUUUGACAGUUUAUUGAUAUUCCACAUAAAUUACUCUGACCUUCUCUCAUCCUCUUUUUUGUUUUUGGUUUUUUUUUUCAGAGAGUUUUAUUGUGUGGUAAUUCUUAUGCACACCCAUCUCACCAGCGAGGUCCCUGAGGACUGCCAAUGUGAUAAAAAGAUGCAAGACUAUAUGUAUUAUCUCUUAUUCCUGCUAACACAACAACCACCUGGGCCUUUGACAGACCUGAAAUCUACUGCAUUGUUUACCUAAGUGACAGAAAAUGCCUUUAAGAGGAGAAGUAGGCAUAUGAAAAGGGAAUAAUACAUAAAGAAACAUCUGCACUGAGGUCAUUUGUCACUUUUGGAAAGGUCUUUGAAAACAGUACAUACAUUUGGUAUAGCGUAAUGCUCAUGACACUAUGGGUCUUCUAUUCACUCACAGGCCUUAUCUGGCAUGUAUCAAGCUUUUAUGAUGUUUGUAGGAUCCGUGCUGCAUGCACAGGCUGCAGGGUCCUCCCUGACCCUGCCCAGUUCUUGCACUGUCUUAGGAAGCACUGCCCUCCCUGCUAUGCAAUGCUUACUUUGGAGCAGGUGCUUUGUACGUUAGCUUUUUGCUUUUCUCUUUUGCCAUUUCCCCCAUUUGCCAAACAAAUCCCUGGGGCAUCCUGUGCCAUCUCUGCUUGGCAGUCUCUGAGCUGUUGCUGCAGACUUGGCUGAGGGGUGACUUUGCCCCAAGCCUCCACCCUCCAUCACAAGGACUUCCCAUGCCCUCAAAUCCUCCAAAACACAUUUAAGACCCACUUCUUCAGAAACAAAAUCCACCUAAGCAAAUGCAGAAGGUAACUGUGCUGCUAAGGAGCAGCGGAUGCCCUGGGAGCGAGUGUUGAUAGAUUUCCACAUGAAUUCAGAUCCCUACCAAGAAGUUGCAGUUCCUGUGAGCUCUCACCCGUUACUGUUAUAACAGCACCAGAUAUAUGUUCAUGGUGUUGCACAACUUCUUCCAAGUUAAAACGUAUGGUGAGGGUGUCAGCUUGGAAGGGAAGUGGUAAAGCAGCAUCUUCACUGGCUGUGGGUGCUGUUGCAUCUCCUGUGCUUCCACUGCUUACUGGUUUAUGAAACACCAGAACUGCCUCGGGAGUAUCUCACUGGUAAAAAUUGAGCUAUGAGGGGAAUAUGCAAAGAAAAGAAAGUUUGAAAAGCAGAAAUGUAUUUCAUACAAGGGUUUUACGGUCUUUGUCAAGUGCAGAUGUGUCAAAAUGAUUCCACUGGAAACUUUAUAUAAAAUGGUUAAUGUAAAGGGGUUCUUGCAAUCCUGGCAUCUCCUUCCCCUCUCUCAAGAGCUGUUGUAGCUCAUGACAGCUCUGUUCUGCAUACUGGGAACAUCAGCAGCUGGAAAUUAUCAUUUGUUACUCUUACUCUUUCUGUAACUUGUUUCAGAGAUUCUACUGGUAAUGAGGGCUUUUGCCCUUUUACCUUUGGGACAGCUUGGAAUUCCUCUCAGAGCCAGAAAUCACUGAAUUAUAACUAGUAGGGAAAAAAUGUAGCAUUUAGUACGGUAUUCAGACGAGUUGUGGGCAUUCCUUAAAUUCCUUCAGAGGACAGUCAGAGGGACAGACGUGUCAUUGCAGCUCGGGGCUCUCUUUCACCAUUGCUCUGCUAUUGCAUGAUGCUCUUCUUAAAAACUCCCCCUUGCUUAUUUACCUUUCUAAAGAUUUUACCUAAGAGUUCUCAGCUGCCUUUUGGACUUACG